ensembl:lncRNA
GUGUUUUGGAUCCUGAUAUGCUGGUAUGAUGACCAAAUUAAAAGAUUUUCAAUUGAUUUUACUGCAGGUGGAAUGGAGAUGUUCUGUAUCUGAAGAGAAGCUUACUGUGCUAAUCAAUGAUGUGAAUAUGCCGGUCUCUGCAGGUGUGAUACAUUUAGCCCAGCAAGGCUUCGCAGUGCACUGUUCCACUGUGCAGAGCUGUGCUGCAGUUUAUGAGGGAGGUCUGAAUGUGGUUGUGUGGAAGGGGGAUGCAGGGAGGCUGACUGUUCUGGUGGAGGUCCCUCAGAGCUUCUACAACCGCACUGUGGGCCUUCUGGGCCUCUGGAGCACCAAUACUACUGAUGACUUCCUCCUCUCCAAUGGGCGCCUGCUGUCUUCAUCUGACAACAACCCUCCCUCUGAAGACAAGCUGGCAGUGUUUGGACAAUCAUGUAUGUCUUACAAAGGUUACCAACACUGGUCAUCUGAAGAACCAUUUUUGUAAAUGAGAUAAGCAAAUUUCUAAGUAAAAAAGAUUCUCCCACAAACUCACUUUAGAAACCCCUUAAAGACCUAGUUUGCCUUGUUUUCCAUGUAGUUACU